rnacentral:rRNA from 1 species
GACAGAGGCCUCAAGCGUUAGGCGGAAUCACUGGGCUUAAAGCGUGUGUAGGCGGAUCGUUAAGUGUCUUGUGAAAUCCCACGGCUCACCCGUGGAACUGCUGGGCAUACUGGCGAUCUUGGGCCAACUAGGGGCAACUGGAACAAGCGGUGGAGCGGUGAAAUGCGUAGAUAUCGCUUGGAACGCCGGAAGGUGAAAACAGGUUGCUGGGGUUGUGCCG